AAGGUUUCCGUAGGUGAACCUGCGGAAGGAUCAUUAUUGAACAAACUGGUGUUGGCUGAGCUGGCCUUUUCGGAGGCAUGUGCACGGCCCGCCAUUGUUUCAUCCUUCUCUUCCACCUGUGCACUUCUGUGGGCCCACUCCAGUACCCUUUGUGCGCUGGAAUCUGGUGCCUACGUUUUACUACCUACACCAUUGAAUGUUUAGAACGCAUGAAUAGGGCAUUCUUGCCCAUAAAAACCUUAUACAACUUUCAACAACGGAUCUCUUGGCUCUCGCAUCGAUGAAGAACGCAGCGAAAUGCGAUAAGUAAUGUGAAUUGCAGAAUUCAGUGAAUCAUCGAAUCUUUGAACGCACCUUGCGCUCCUUGGCAUUCCGAGGAGCAUGCCUGUUUGAGUGUCAUUAAAUCAUCAACCCCACCUCAUCAUUGAGAGGGUUGGACUUGGAGGUUCUGCUGGCCCUAUCCGGGACCGGCUCCUCUGAAAAGCAUUAGCAGGGGCUCAUCUUGUGCGAUCUGCAGCCUUGUGUGAUAGUAUCUACACUCGGCGCGGUCACAUUCACCCAGCUUCUAGCCGUCCGCUUGGACAACACAAUUGACCACUUGGCCUCAAAUCAGGUAGGAUUACCCGCUG
rnacentral:rRNA from 1 species